CCUUCAUGCAAUCAGACC
rnacentral:misc_RNA from 1 species